rnacentral:rRNA from 1 species
UACGUAGGAGGCGAGCGUUGUCCGGAAUCACUGGGUGUAAAGCGCGUGUAGGCGGCCUGUCAAGUCUGCUGUGAAAGCGCCUGGCUUAACCGGGCGAGGUCGGUGGAAACUGGCGGGCUGGAGGCCGGUAGAGGGUGGUGGAAUUCCUGGUGUAGCGGUGAAAUGCGCAGAUAUCAGGAGGAACACCGGUGGCGAAGGCGGUUCUCUGGGCAUUACCUGACGCUGAGGAGCGAAAGUGUGGGGAGCGAACAGG